rnacentral:rRNA from 1 species
AGUUUGAUCCUGGCUCAGGAUGAACGCUAGCUACAGGCUUAACACAUGCAAGUCGAGGGGAAACGAUAGAGAAAGCUUGCUUUUUCUAGGCGUCGACCGGCGCACGGGUGAGUAACGCGUAUCCAACCUGCCCAUCACUUGGGGAUAACCUUGCGAAAGUAAGACUAAUACCCAAUGAUAUCUCUAGAAGACAUCUGAAGGAGAUUAAAGAUUUAUCGGUGAUGGAUGGGGAUGCGUCUGAUUAGCUUGUUGGCGGGGUAACGGCCCACCAAGGCGACGAUCAGUAGGGGUUCUGAGAGGAAGGUCCCCCACAUUGGAACUGAGACACGGUCCAAACUCCUACGGGAGGCAGCAGUGAGGAAUAUUGGUCAAUGGACGAGAGUCUGAACCAGCCAAGUAGCGUGCAGGAUGACGGCCCUAUGGGUUGUAAACUGCUUUUAUAAGGGAAUAAAGUGAGUCUCGUGAGACUUUUUGCAUGUACCUUAUGAAUAAGGACCGGCUAAUUCCGUGCCAGCAGCCGCGGUAAUACGGAAGGUCCGGGCGUUAUCCGGAUUUAUUGGGUUUAAAGGGAGCGUAGGCCGGAGAUUAAGCGUGUUGUGAAAUGUAGACGCUCAACGUCUGCACUGCAGCGCGAACUGGUUUCCUUGAGUACGCACAAAGUGGGCGGAAUUCGUGGUGUAGCGGUGAAAUGCUUAGAUAUCACGAAGAACUCCGAUUGCGAAGGCAGCUCACUGGAGCGCAACUGACGCUGAAGCUCGAAAGUGCGGGUAUCGAACAGGAUUAGAUACCCUGGUAGUCCGCACGGUAAACGAUGGAUGCCCGCUGUUGGUCUGAAUAGGUCAGCGGCCAAGCGAAAGCAUUAAGCAUCCCACCUGGGGAGUACGCCGGCAACGGUGAAACUCAAAUGAAUUGACGGAAGGGCUUU